rnacentral:rRNA from 1 species
GAUUCUGGCUCAGAACGAACGCUGGCGGCAGGCCUAACACAUGCAAGUCGAGCGCACCCUUCGGGGCGAGCGGCGGACGGGUUAGUAACGCGUGGGAAUGUACCCAGAUCUACGGAAUAGCCUCGGGAAACUGAGAGUAAUACCGUAUACGCCCUUCGGGGGAAAGAUUUAUCGGAUUUGGAUCAGCCCGCGUUAGAUUAGAUAGUUGGUGGGGUAAUGGCCUACCAAGUCUACGAUCUAUAGCUGGUUUUAGAGGAUGAUCAGCAACACUGGGACUGAGACACGGCCCAGACUCCUACGGGAGGCAGCAGUGGGGAAUCUUAGACAAUGGGCGCAAGCCUGAUCUAGCCAUGCCGCGUGUGUGAUGAAGGCCUUAGGGUCGUAAAGCACUUUCGCCAGAGAUGAUAAUGACAGUAUCUGGUAAAGAAACCCCGGCUAACUCCGUGCCAGCAGCCGCGGUA